AGCGAACGCUGGCGGCAGGCCUAACACAUGCAAGUCGAACGAAGCCUUCGGGCUUAGCGGCGGACGGGUGAGUAACACGUGGGAACGUACCUUUUGGUUCGGAAUAACGCAGAGAAAUUUGCGCUAAUACCGAAUGAGCCCUUCGGGGGAAAGAUUUAUCGCCGAAAGAUCGGCCCGCGUUGGAUUAGGUAGUUGGUGUGGUAAAGGCGCACCAAGCCUACGAUCCAUAGCUGGUCUGAGAGGAUGGUCAGCCACACUGGGACUGAGACACGGCCCAGACUCCUACGGGAGGCAGCAGUGGGGAAUCUUGCGCAAUGGGCGAAAGCCUGACGCAGCCAUGCCGCGUGAAUGAUGAAGGUCUUAGGAUUGUAAAAUUCUUUUACCAGGGACGAUAAUGACGGUACCUGGAGAAAAAGCCCCGGCUAACUUCGUGCCAGCCGCCGCCGUAAUAC
rnacentral:rRNA from 1 species